rnacentral:rRNA from 1 species
GGCAGGCCUAACACAUGCAAGUCGGACGGAAACGACAAGAACAAUCACUUCGGUGUGCGUUUUUGGGCGUCGAGUGGCGGACGGGUGAGUAACGCGUGGGAAUCUACCCUUUAGUUGGGGACAACAUAUGGAAACGUAUGCUAAUACCGAAUAUGCUCUACGGAGUAAAGGUGCCCUCUCCUUGGAAGGUAUCGCUAAAGGAUGAGCCCGCGUUAGAUUAGCUAGUUGGUAAGGUAAAGGCUUACCAAGGCGACGAUCUAUAGCUGGUUUGAGAGGAUGAUCAGCCACACUGGGACUGAGACACGGCCCAGACUCCUACGGGAGGCAGCAGUGGGGAAUAUUGCACAAUGAGGGAAACCUUGAUGCAGCCAUGCCGCGUGUGUGAAGAAGGCCCGAGGGUUGUAAAGCACUUUCAAUUGUGAGGAAGAUUAAGUAGCUAAUACCUGCUUAGUUUGACGUUAACUUUAGAAGAAGCACCGGCUAACUCUGUGCCAGCAGCCGCGGUAAUACAGAGGGUGCAAGCGUUAUUCGGAAUUACUGGGCGUAAAGCGCGCGUAGGCGGACUGUUAAGUCGGUUGUGAAAGCCCUGGGCUCAACCUAGGAACUGCAUCCGAUACUGGCAAUCUAGAGUUUAAGAGAGGGAAGUGGAAUUCCAGGUGUAGCAGUGAAAUGCGUAGAUAUCUGGAGGAACAUCAGUGGCGAAGGCGACUUCCUGGCUUAAAACUGACGCUGAGGUGCGAAAGCUUGGGUAGCGAACGGGAUUAGAUACCCCGGUAGUCCAAGCCGUAAACGAUGUC